rnacentral:lncRNA from 1 species
AUGAUUCUAUGAAAAAGAAUUCUUUGAGAUCGUCUCAAUUGUCCAUUUCUUCAAUCUGGUAGUCUCUCAACAUCUCUUGACAUAAAUUCCAAUUUUUAUAUGAAGUAUGGGAGCUUUCAUUGAGAUAUAAUAAUAGGUUAUCAGAAUACUUAUAUGUAUGAUUAGCUCUUGAUAUUAUCUUAAGUUUGUUUCUACUCUUAUAUCAUUAUCAUUUUUACUAAAAUACAUGUCUUGUUUCAGAAACUUGACAUUCUUGAUUUUGUGAAGAGCUUAAAGAAGUUUGACAAAGUAAGUAUACUAAUUAAUAUGAAGUUCUGUAAGUAUUUAUAUAUUCUCAUAUUUCUGAAUUUUGAUACUAUUAUACAGUUAAGUUUUCAUCUAAAGAGCUAAUAAUUGAAAAAACCUCAAAUCAUUAGAAUUUAACACAAAAAACUGACUUCAUGGAGUACAUAAUAGAACUUACGAAGUUUGUCCCAAUCUCCAAAUAAGUUAUAGUCCAAGACAAAAAAUAAAUCACUAAAUCUUGCAACAUCUAUUCCUUCUCCUGCUUGAUACAAACUUUGGCUAUUUUUGUUGGCUUAGUGCAAGAAAAUUGGUCUAUUAGACUUCUUUUAAUGGAUCCAUCAUCAAUCCACUCAACCUCAUCUUCAAGCUUUGAUUCCGUAGCAACAGGAGUCUCUUCUCCAACUCUAUCCAUAACCUCAUUCGAACUCUCCAAUAUAGGAAAUGAAUCAGAUUGUUGGCUGUCCGAGCAGUUGGUAGAGUGCGUAGCAAUAAUUUUAGGAUCCGUUGCUAGAGUUGAGACACUAUAUGCCUUAUUAAAUGCCCAACCUUCCCCAAAAGGAACCUUAAUCUUGAACAUAAAUUUUUGUUGAAGUAGGGCAUGUUGAAUCUCUUUUGGAACAGCAAACUCCUUUAAGAUAAAAAAGAAAAUGCACACAUUAAUACACCUUAACAUGUAUUUACGUAAAAUAUUACUUGUAUUGGUUUUUGAAGUAAAAAGAAAAUAAAAAAAUGUACCUCUAUUCCUUCAACAUUAACUUCUGCGGCUGAUUUUCCUAUUACUUGCUUACUCUCCCUAUCCCAUAGUACAAAAGGUGAACUGCUAGAGUCGUCUGCAACAUUUAUUAUCAACUUAUACUUCAUUUCUCCCGACUCGCUAAAGUUGCUGCAAUACUUGCAAUAGAAUUGCUUCUCUAAUUUCUCAAGUUUCCUAAAGCACUUUUUGCAAGAUAUAUAAAACCAACCCCUUUCUUCGUCAAUGUUAACUACAGUACCACAUAUCCAAAAGCUUCCACCCUGUUAAUAUAACACAAAGUAUUUAACACAUAUAAAAUAUUCAGUUUAGAGAUAUUGUAUGUCUUUAAUUGUACCUCUGAAUUCUCACAAAGGUCUUUUAUGCUUGUCACGGUGACUCCGGCUGCAAGCUCAUCAAUAACAGUUGAACUUAUUGCUUGUGAAGUACUUGAGAUAACCGUAGUGCUUAAGCCGGAGUGAAUAAGCCUUGAAAUCAAACAUGGUCAACAAUCAGAAAAAUGUAUAUAUAUACACACACACAUUAAAAGAUGAAUAUGUCUUCAAACAAUAAAUGGUUUGACAUCAAACAAUUAGUUAAAUAAAACAUACCUCUCCUUGAACUUAUGUAUGUCACGUAUAUCUUCGUUCAACAAAAUUUUAGUAACUUGGUACCCAUUUUGCACUUUUACAACACAUGUGAGUUUAAAUAAUAAUAAUAAUAAUGAAGUUGCAAUAUAGCCUAAUAGAUAUUAGAAGCACAAAAGGUUAAAUUCGAUUAAGACUACUUUAUUUAUCUCUAAAAACAUGUUCUCAAAAUUAAUAGAAGAAAUCAUAUUAUUAUAUUCCUAAUCACACUUUGUUUUUAGAUGUGUUCAUCUCUAAACACAUGUUCUGAAAAUUGAUUAAAGAAAUUAUAUUUGAAACAUAAAUUGAAGUAUGAUUGUCACUACAUAAGUUGAAAAUAAUUAAAUAAGUAAAGCUAUUGACUCAAACAAAAUAAAGUUAAGUUCAAAUUUUUAAGUGCCAACAUUGUACUUACCUUGAAACAUACUUAGCCUGCAAAACUGUAACACAAUAAUGUUGACAUCCAUUUGACGUUCUUCAUAUUGUUUCAUGAAAAUAUCAACAUAAUUCUCCCACAAAGUGCAAGACAUUCUCUUUCCCCUUUGAAACAGUAUUAUAUAAUAUAGUAAGAACAACAAUAAUUUAGUUUUAAUAAUAAAGAAGUAGCGACAAAAAUGUACAUAAAUACUCACUCGGUAUCUUCUAGAAUAAGAUCCAAUAUUUUUUUUUCUUUACCAUCUCGAGUUGUCAGUUUUGUUGGAUUAGGCCGGGAGGCAAUUCUGCCUAUAACAUCUGCACAUGUCACGUUGAUGGGACUAAGAUUUUGUAGUGUAUGUAAAUAUAUGAAAAAAAUAUAAAAAUAUUUUAUCAUUACCAAUUGGAAGAGCAUCUGCAAUGUUUUCAGUGGCUUGAAUAUCAUCAAAUGACUUGAAUGCAUAAAUGAUAUUAGGAAAAGUUGGAUUAGCUUCAACUCUCACUUCCGUGUUUCCAUAAAAAGUUGCUUUAUAUUUAUUCGAAGUAACUCUAAACUUUGAUUGAUUAUGUGUAACACCGAAGUUACGUAUAGCAUAAAGUCCUCCUUCUUGAAACUUAGAGAUGAACUUAGAUGCUAUAAGUUUUGGUGCUGUGAAAUGGUACCUAGUUCCCUGCAAUUUGAACAUUUUAACAUGUGUAAGCUCUCUUAAACGUUUAGGAGUGCUAAAAAAAUCUUAUUGUAACAACUAUAAUGUAAUAUAAACAUUAUCCUUCUUAAAAUACUAUAGUGACAAUGACAUUAUGAAUCUGCAACCAUUUUUUGUUAUUAGAUUUGCUUACCAAUUGGAGAAUUUGAACUCUUUGGAUCAAAAUGGAUUAGAAUACAUGAGGGUUUUGAAAAAAAAAACUGUAUUUUUUUAGAGAGCACAACUAAAGAAUUUUAAUAUACUCUUAAGUCUUAACUGCUAAUAUUUGUUUGUAUAUAUCCAACGACUAAUUAAUCAUAUGAGUUUGGUAGAGCUCAGAGCAAAGCCAUCUGGGCGCCAGAGCAGAGCCCAUCUGGGCCAGAGUAGAGAGAGCUCGAUGCCAG